GACGAACGCUGGCGGCGUGCCUAAUACAUGCAAGUAGAACGCUGAAGAGAGGAGCUUGCUCUUCUUGGAUGAGUUGCGAACGGGUGAGUAACGCGUAGGUAACCUGCCUUGUAGCGGGGGAUAACUAUUGGAAACGAUAGCUAAUACCGCAUAACAAUGGAUGACACAUGUCAUUUAUUUGAAAGGGGCAAUUGCUCCACUACAAGAUGGACCUGCGUUGUAUUAGCUAGUAGGUGAGGUAACGGCUCACCUAGGCGACGAUACAUAGCCGACCUGAGAGGGUGAUCGGCCACACUGGGACUGAGACACGGCCCAGACUCCUACGGGAGGCAGCAGUAGGGAAUCUUCGGCAAUGGGGGCAACCCUGACCGAGCAACGCCGCGUGAGUGAAGAAGGUUUUCGGAUCGUAAAGCUCUGUUGUAAGUCAAGAACGAGUGUGAGAGUGGAAAGUUCACACUGUGACGGUAGCUUACCAGAAAGGGACGGCUAACUACGUGCCAGCAGCCGCGGUAAUACGUAGGUCCCGAGCGUUGUCCGGAUUUAUUGGGCGUAAAGCGAGCGCAGGCGGUUUGAUAAGUCUGAAGUUAAGGCUGUGGCUCAACCAUAGUUCGCUUUGGAAACUGUCAAACUUGAGUGCAGAAGGGGAGAGUGGAAUUCCAUGUGUAGCGGUGAAAUGCGUAGAUAUAUGGAGGAACACCGGUGGCGAAAGCGGCUCUCUGGUCUGUAACUGACGCUGAGGCUCGAAAGCGUGGGGAGCGAACAGGAUUAGAUACCCUGGUAGUCCACGCCGUAAACGAUGAGUGCUAGGUGUUGGAUCCUUUCCGGGAUUCAGUGCCGCAGCUAACGCAUUAAGCACUCCGCCUGGGGAGUACGACCGCAAGGUUGAAACUCAAAGGAAUUGACGGGGGCCCGCACAAGCGGUGGAGCAUGUGGUUUAAUUCGAAGCAACGCGAAGAACCUUACCAGGUCUUGACAUCCCGAUGCUAUUUCUAGAGAUAGAAAGUUACUUCGGUACAUCGGUGACAGGUGGUGCAUGGUUGUCGUCAGCUCGUGUCGUGAGAUGUUGGGUUAAGUCCCGCAACGAGCGCAACCCCUAUUGUUAGUUGCCAUCAUUCAGUUGGGCACUCUAGCGAGACUGCCGGUAAUAAACCGGAGGAAGGUGGGGAUGGCGUCAAAUCAUCAUGCCCCUUAUGACCUGGGCUACACACGUGCUACAAUGGUUGGUACAACGAGUUGCGAGUCGGUGACGGCAAGCUAAUCUCUUAAAGCCAAUCUCAGUUCGGAUUGUAGGCUGCAACUCGCCUACAUGAAGUCGGAAUCGCUAGUAAUCGCGGAUCAGCACGCUGCGGUGAAUACGUUCCCGGGCCU
rnacentral:rRNA from 1 species